UGCAAGUCUACGAGAAAAGGGUAGCAAUAUCCUGAGUAAAGUGGCGCACGGGUGAGUAACACGUAGGCAAUCUGCCUUUAGGACGGGAACAACCCCGAGAAAUCGAGGCUAAUACCCGAUAAUGCAGCGGCACCGCAUGGUGACAGUUGUUAAAUGCCCGCAAGGGCGCCUAGAGAUGAGCCUGCGCCCCAUUAGGUAGUUGGUGAGGUAACGGCCCACCAAGCCUACGAUGGGUAGCUGAUCUGAGAGGAUGAUCAGCCACACUGGAACUGAGACACGGUCCAGACUCCUACGGGAGGCAGCAGUGAGGAAUAUUGCGCAAUGGCCGAAAGGCUGACGCAGCGACGCCGCGUGAAGGAUGAAGUCCGUUAGGAUGUAAACUUCUUUUGCAGGGGAUGAAUGUCCCGCUCAGCGGGAUUGACCGUACCCUGCGAAUAAGGAUCGGCUAACUACGUGCCAGCAGCCGCGGUAAUACGUAGGAUCCGAGCGUUGUCCGGAAUUACUGGGUGUAAAGGGCGUGUAGGUGGGUUCCUAAGUCGGUGGUGAAAUCUUGCAGCUCAACUGCAAAACUGCCAUUGAUACUGGGGAUCUUGAGUGCGGCAAGGAGAUGGAGUUCAUGGUGUACGGUGAAAUGUGUA
rnacentral:rRNA from 1 species